CCUACGGGCGGCAGCAGUAGGGAAUAUUGCUCAAUGGGGGAAACCCUGAAGCAGCAACGCCGCGUGGAGGAUGAAGGUUUUCUGUACGUAAAGCUCUAUCAGCAGGGAAGAAAAUGACGGUACCUGACUACGAAGCCCCGGCUACCUACGUGCCAGCAGCCGCGGUAAUACGUAGGGGGCAAGCGUUAUCCGGAUUUACUGGGUGUAAAGGGAGCGUAGACGGCAGCGCAAGUCUGAAGUGAAAUCCCAUGGCUUAACCAUGGAACUGCUUUGGAAACUGUGCAGCUGGAGUGCAGGAGAGGUAAGCGGAAUUCCUAGUGUAGCGGUGAAAUGCGUAGAUAUUAGGAGGAACACCAGUGGCGAAGGCGGCUUACUGGACUGUAACUGACGUUGAGGCGCGAAAGCGUGGGGAGCAAACAGGAUUAGAUACCCUGGUAGUC
rnacentral:rRNA from 1 species